rnacentral:rRNA from 1 species
CAACUUUCAACAAUGGAUCUCUUGGCUCUUGCAUCGAUGAAGAACGCAAUGAAGUGCGAUAUGUAGUGUGAAUUGCAGAAUUCCGUGAAUCAUCGAAUCUUUGAACGCAUAUUGCACUCUCUGGUAUUCCGGAGAGUAUGCCUAUUGAGGGUCAUGUG